UUGUUUGUGCAGAUCCGAUAAGUGGUGGAGUGUUUCUACCGUGAGUUCUGUGUUAAGUGCGUUAGCCUUUUUUUCCACUCAGGGUUAAUUCAGAGGCUCUGCGUUAGACUUGUGUUUCGUUUGGUUAAAAAUGGUUCAUAUUGUCACUUAGCUGAGUUUCUCUGAGUGGAUGUGACAGAUUCAUAGUUUGUUAAAUGUUAAGAAGCCCUUAGAUGCUGUUUAUUGCAAGAUGUUGCAUUUUGGGGGCUUAACAGGUUAAACAACUUUUUUGAUCAGUGUUCACACGAUCUUUGAUACUUAAUUUACUUGAAAAGAAGUAUAAAUAUGAAUGACUUUUUUAAUCCGUAAACAAAAAAUCAGAGAACAUCAGGACAUAAAUGGUAUUCUGUGGAGGCUGUAGAUCACCUGUAGAUCUUAUGGAUAUUGUCUCUGUUUCUUUGCAGCUAGUAAAAACAACGUUGCUGGCAAAUCUCGGGAAGAGAUCACUCUGGAGAAACAGAUGGAGCUGGAGAGAAGGCUGAUAGACGUUAGCGGUCAGCUCAACUCCGGAAAGAAGCCCGUUAAGACCAAACAGAAACCUGUAACGGAGCCGCACAACACCCAGCCAACACGUCUCAGCGCCAGCAGCUCUUCCUCAGACUCCUCCUCCUCAUCAUCCUCCUCCUCAUCCUCAGACACAAGCGACUCAGACUCUGGCUGAGAGGCCCUGUGUUUCCGUAUGACAGGGUCAUGUAAGGGACCCUGGGUAAUUUGCUUCUCACUGAGAGGACUGAACUGCAGUAGAGCUACUGACGAUGGAGCCGCAGGACGGAUCAGACGAGACGGGCAGAACUGCUGCGCCUCAAAGUAUCAAACCAAGAAAGAGGGAGAUGGAGCUUACCCUGCGUUCAUGCAUCCAUCCCAGACACAGCACAGUUGGGAAUGGAUAGUAGGAGGAGAUUGUAAAGUCGUGCCGUUCUCUGGAGAACUGGCCUUUUUCGGGCAGAGCGAGGGACGCUCCAUCGCCUGCAAAAAGAAACAAGGAGAAUAGCGACGCAUGCGUUGGAGGGAUAAGGGUGCUAGAGCCAGAAUUUGUCUUAUUUCUGGAGAUAACUUCCCUUCUUCUUGUGCUCCCUGUCUUUAUGCUGUAUAGAUAAGAUGUACAGUUAUAUAAAUAUCUAUUUUUCUUUUGUAAAGAAGCAUUUUAUGGAGCUAAUUUAUUCCCUCAUUCUGGGAAAGAAGUAGUAGUGCGGGUGUGUGUCUUAGUUUUUGUUUAGUUUUUUUUUUUUCUUGAGUGACGUAGAGGGGAAACUCAUGCAUUUGUCUGUGUGUGUGAGUGAGUGUGUGAAUGUGUCAUGUAUGAGUUUGCAUGUGUGAGAUCCUCAUAAUUUUGACGCAGGCGUUGAAAAUCAGUCUGCACGCAGAAGCACCUUGGUUCAGUAAAAUACAGAAUGCAUGCAAUACAGAGGAGCUGGCAAACACCUGCAUACUCGUGCACUCAUGCACUUGUUUGAGAUGGUCGGCCACUGUACAGAAAUGUGACAUAGUUUCAUGACAUCAGUUUUAGACAAACGUAUAUCUGUUCCCACCAUGUCUUUUUUUUCCUCUAUUUUUCUAAACAUGUUGCUUUUUUUCUCCUUGUGACCAAACUGCGAAUAAAUUGUGAGGACUUGUCUUGUCCAUUCACCCGUGCCCAAAUGACAUCCUGGUUCUUUUGAUUUCUUCUGGUGUUCAUGUUGAGUUUGGACAUGUCAAAAAACAUCUGACGAGAUUUGAGGUUGUAUGAAAAUAGUUUUGCUGGUUCUUCCAUAACAUUGUAUUAUUGAAAUAGGUGAAGAGUUUUGGUUAGAUUUCCCAAUGGGUAAUCACUUCUUCGCACUACGGUGUCAUACAAACCAAACUGCUGAUAACAAUUUGGCCUUUAAGAUCUAUGGCAGCUCAAAGUUUAAUUUCAGUGUUAACUGUUUUUUGUUUUUGAGUAAGUUAACUUAUUUGUGUGAAUAUAAUUGUUUGGAAAGUUUUCACCAGCAUCAUUAGUGGAGGACAACGUUUUCUCCUCUUUGGCCUCUUCUUUUUCUUUUAAAGCCAAACCAGUCUGGAUGAUUGAAACAAGCAAGUGGCCGCAGACAGUUUAACAAGUGAACAACAUCUGGUUUAUUGUGAGUAACAAUGCACUGUUUGUUUGGUGGUUCUACGGUGGUUCUACUAAACAAUGUUCUUUGGGUAAGGUCUGUGUCCUUAAUGUUCUUUUAAAGUCGCCUACAGCGUAAGAUUGGAGUUUUAGACGUUAUGAAAGUGAUUCUUUAGCAAGAACUAGAAUGGAGAUGUCUUUUUCACAAUACUGAAGGUAAUCAAAGCUUUUAAAUUGAGGUAUACUCUACAAAAUGUCAGGUUUUUAGAAGUGUACAUACAGUCUCAAUCUUGAGCAUGUUUUUGUUCUUCCUUCAGUAACUUUGUCCAACUGUUUCUUUUUUGUAAAACAAAUAUUUUAUUUUGGGCUUCUGUUGUAAAACAAAACACUCCAGUUGUCAAUUCUAAUUUCAUGAAGUUUGUCCAAAACACCUCUGUACUUGACUCCAUUUUAGAACUUCAUCUGUACUCAAAUAAACUGCUACAUGUUCAUCUUUA